rnacentral:rRNA from 1 species
GACGAACGCUGGCGGCGUGCUUAACACAUGCAAGUCGAACGGAAAGGCCCUGCUUUUGUGGGGUGCUCGAGUGGCGAACGGGUGAGUAACACGUGAGUAACCUGCCCUUGACUUUGGGAUAACUCCAGGAAACUGGGGCUAAUAUCGGAUAGGAGCUCCUGCUGCAUGGUGGGGGUUGGAAAGUUUCGGCGGUUGGGGAUGGACUCGCGGCUUAUCAGCUUGUUGGUGGGGUAGUGGCUUACCAAGGCUUUGGCGGGUAGCCGGCCUGAGAGGGUGACCGGCCACAUUGGGACUGAGGUACGGCCCCGACUCCUACGGGAGGCAGCAGUGGGGAAUAUUGCACAAUGGGCGGAAGCCUGAUGCAGCAACGCCGCGUGCGGGAUGACGGCCUUCGGGUUGUAAACCGCUUUCGCCUGUGACGAAGCGUGAGUGACGGUAAUGGGUAAAGAAGCACCGGCUAACUACGUG